AUUCAUUCCCUCUCCAUAAAUAUUUUAAUGUUCUCCGUGCAUAUUUGUUGUGUCAAGGACAGGGUUGAGUUGGCUUAUACAGUAAAUGCCUGUAAAUGUCAUUUAUACAUAUUUCUAUGUAUUGCUCUGCAGCUUUACUUCUCCAUGCUUCGAAAAAACGCUUUCGUUUUCUUGCAGUGCUCAGGCGCCUACCGUGAAAACUGAGGUGCUGCUAGAUAACAUCGACAGUGCUGAAUUUUAUCCUAAAGAACUGCUUUCCAUGGGAAGGGUUGUAGCUCCUAUUUCUAUUUCUUAGUGGUCUCAUGGAAUUCAUUUAUAUAAAACGACAAAGUUUAGAAUAUAUACCUGAAAAUGCAUGCAAUUUGUCUAAGAAUAAAGAAGGCACAUUUUAGUGCCCUACAAACAGACACAUCCCCUAUCCUGUGCUGUAAAUAUGUAAUUAGCUUCAAUUUUAGCAUUGAGAAAAUAUAGGGGGAAAAAAUAUUGGAGAAAAAGUUUAGUAAUGAAUUGAAUUGGAGUAAUAAUAUAGAAUUGCUCACCAUAUAGAUAGAGAAUUGGAGAGUGAAAAUCGCAUUGAAACCCUUUAUCCCCCAACUAUCAAAGAAAUCCCCCUUUUCAAAAUAUAAUCAACCAUUCGUUUAAGUUUUUUCAUUCGUCUUUGUGCAUUCAUCAAAAAGACUACUAAGCAUUACCAAAAAAAUAUUUCAUAGCUAUUUGGAGAGUUUUCAUCCAUAAUUGCUGCUAUUUUUCCAUCAUUAAUUACAUAUUUUCUUGGCUGGGACAAGUCGCCACUGGUAUAGAGGGGGUCCACACGUUUGGAGGCAUUUACAUGCCAUAUUUUUUCGCAAUUUUCAAUUUGCAGCUAGUUUUGGAGAUGGCACCAACAUUAUAUGUGGUUCUAUAUUCAUUCCUAACUGCUCUAACUACUAGCCAUGACCAUAUAAUAGCCCUUGUAGCCAACCACCAACCAUACCAACGAUGUAAAGGUCAUUUUUAGGUUCGUACAACCAUAUAAUUCAGGGUUUCAUUAUCACUUUCUCAAAUCUGUAGUUCAUGAGAGGAUUGUAUUUAUUCUAAUUUUGAAUAUGCCGUUUCCAGAAUUUAUAAUCAAGCCUAAGUUUUUAUUUUAUUGAUUAUUCUUAUGUUAAAGGUAAUUGGGAACAUCACUGGCCCAGAUGUAACUCAUAUUUAUAUGUACAACGUUAUUAGGUUGCGUUCUCACUCAUUCUUAAUGACUUCAGGCACUAACAUGCCUGUUCAAACUGAGAUGUGUGUGACAUGUGCAAAUGGCUCGCAUGGAAGGCUGAUGCCUUGCUGAGAACAAUUUCUCUUGCAAUAAUCUUGCAGACGAAUUUAGAUGCAGUGUAGAAAGCAUUCAGUUUCGUUCUUUCACCAAUAUCCUUGCUAUUUGAACCUCAUGCACCUGCCUGCUUUUGCAUAGCUUUUUUAGAGAAGUACAUAAAUUGCAGCAUUUUUAGGAUCCAACUAAAAAACCAGUGUUGGAAAUGCUCAGCUUAUAUUCAUAUAUGAUCUACAGGCAUCCAGAAAACACAUCCACACAACCACUACGGGUCUAACUGGCAUCUCAAUCUUAUUUAUUAAAUGCUCUGUACAAUUUCAUUAGAAAAAAAAAGCAUUUGUUCAUUACGGUGCAUUCUACUAUUCUGUUGUUGCACAGAGCUUGAUUGAAAGCAUUAAUCAAUACACUCACAUGGCCAGCACUCUGAAGACAAGAAGGCAUUGUAGAAAGCUAUCAAAUCCCUCAAUAUUUAUGAACAACUCCACAUUAGGCUUCUUUCCUGAUACCCAUAAGAAAAAUUUGGCAAUUUCUAUGGUAUUUCCUAUCAGAAGUUGAGGAUACGGGCUCUCUUAGUUUCUUCAGAUUUUCAGUUAACCUAGGUUUGAUUUCCUUGGUCUAGGUUCUAGAUUUGGGCUUAGAUGGCUGUUCAAUCUCCUGUAUUCGGCCGAAAUGCAUAACGGGUUUGCGUUUAAUAUUCUUUUAUAAGGUGGGUUAAUUUUAUUCAAUCCUAUUUUUCCUUCCUGAUUCUGCUUUAUAGCGAUGGUCUGUUUACAAUUAUGCAAUUGUUUGGUUCUGUAAACCUUGCUAAAAAAUAUCCAUGGGUUGUUAGGUUUUGGUUAUAAAAACAUUGGUUUUUAUGCCAUGGGUUGUUAGGUUUUGAAUUGUUCCAGUUCGUAUUGCGCUAUUUUUUUUUCUUCCUCCAGUGAACACUGCAAAUGACACCCCCUCCAAUAAUGUCACUAGUCCAAAACCCCGUUGAUCCACCCAGCUCCCAGUUCAAUUCCCUAGCAAAUAUCCUAGGGCAAUUGGAAACCCCAAUUUUAGAUAUCAAUGUCAACUAGUGGCCAGGAAUGGCAAUUGGAACUAAAGAAAUCACAUAGUCCAAAAACUAUAGAACAUUAGUAGUGUCUCGUGCAUCUCCAAUACAGUAAAAAAAACCAAAACAGAAGAAAAACAUAAAACAACAAUGUUCUACAAAAGCAAAAACAGACAGCGCCACCAUAUCUCGAAGCUGCAAUGCCAAAAUCAUAAAGCUAAGUCAAGACAGAAGAAAAACAUAAAACAACAAUGUUCUACAGAAGCAAAAACAGACAGCGCCAACAUAUCUCGAAGCUGCAAUGCCAAAAUCAUAAAGCUAAGUCAACAAGUCAUCCUCCUGGCAUUCAAAGUAACGAAUAAAUUGGUAAUAGGUUCAAAUUUAACAUAAUUGAUCACAUUUUUCUCAUAAACAAGAGAAGAAGAUAACAAUGAUAUCAAAAAUAUCAUUAAAAUUGAUUUUGAAACUUGAAUAUUAUUUUCCCAUGCAACUUCUGAACUUUUGUCCUUCUUGAGAUAGGUUUUACUAUGAGAAAGUAAGAAAUAAAAUUGUGUUCUUAAACCUCGAAUUAAAAGAAUAUAAGAUACUGUACAACUUGUUUAUCAUGUUCUUUUGUAUUUCGAAGCUAAUAUUAACAUUGCACAUAUAGCAGACUAAAUUUGAGACUAAAGACUAUUCCAUCAAUUGAAGAUCCAUAGAAAGAGUUGGUUAAUAACUGCUGAAUAAUUUAAACUAUUAACGAGUUAUCAAGGGAAUUAUCUUCAGUAGCAUAACAAAUCAAAGUGAGGUAAAAUCUUCUGCUGUUUUACCAAGACAAAUAUUCUGCAAUUGAUAUUUUUCAUGCACUAAUGAACUCAUACUUCUCUGCGUCUAAUUUUGCAGGAAUUUGAAUACAGAAGCUGACAACAAUCGGCCAUCAAUAGGCUACAACAGUUGCAUAGUUUACAAUGCUAUUUGCAUACUUACAGUGUUUUAAUCGAGAAUGUGACCUAUUCAUCUUGUCUAAUUAAUCCCAUUAUCCUGCAUUUUAUAUGUUGUAUUCACUACUAUUGAAAUCCUCUUCACUAUGCUACAAUUUUAAAUAUUCACAAUAUAUCUCUACAACAAACGGUCCUAACA